UAACCUGCCCAAGAGAUCGGGAUAACACCUGGAAACAGAUGCUAAUACCGGAUAACAACAGAUGAUGCCUAUCAACUGUUUAAAAGAUGGUUAUGCUAUCACUCUUGGAUGGACCUGCGGUGCAUUAGCUAGUUGGUAGGGUAACGGCCUACCAAGGCGAUGAUGCAUAGCCGAGUUGAGAGACUGAUCGGCCACAUUGGGACUGAGACACGGCCCAAACUCCUACGGGAGGCAGCAGUG
rnacentral:rRNA from 1 species